rnacentral:rRNA from 1 species
UACGUAGGGGCGAGCGUUGUCCGGAUUUAUUGGGCGUAAAGAGCUCGUAGGCGGCUGUUCGAGUCGGGUGUGAAACCCCAGGGCUUAACUCUGGGCCUGCAUUCGAUACUGGGCGGCUUGAGUCUGGUAGGGGAUCUGGAAUUCCUGGUGUAGCGGUGGAAUGCGCAGAUAUCAGGAGGAACACCGGUGGCGAAGGCGGCGACCUGGGUCGAUACUGACGCUGAUGCGCGAAAGCGUGGGGAGCAAACGGAU